AGGACUAAGAAACUUGAGGCUAGGCUGACCCCAUGGUUGUUAUGAUUAGAAAUCCGAGGCCACUGGAAACCCGGAGCUGCUGACCAACGAGUCACAGGGUAACUUCGCCUUCGCAUGGGGAAACGGGCUGGUGCAGUGGUGUCAUCUUGGCUCAGUGCAGCCUCGACUUCCUGGGAUCCAGCGAUCCUCCCGCUUCAGCCUCUAGAGUAGCCGAGACCACAGGAUUUGGAAGAGGGCAGGAGAGAAAAAUGAACUGCAAGACUCCAGCACAAGAGGUGGGAUUGCUGGCAGAUGUCUGCUCCCUCUCCAAACCUAAUGAACAUCUCAAAGUGCCAUCCACUUUCCUAUACCCUUGAUCUGUGAAAUGGAUCACUGACGCUUUCUCUGUCUUUCCGGAAAUGCAAAACAGGUGAAUUUUCAAGCGCUUGAAUUGUCUCUCACACUUUUCAGUCAAGAGUGGGGCUAUAAACUCCUUCCUCAUAGGAAAUAAGGAACUGCCACUGCUUGGAAGUAAAACGUAUUUUUCCCAUAAGCUUUCACAUUUCCCAAAAAAAAUUAUACAUCCAGAUGUAAUCCCCCUAAGAGGCUUACAGACCCUACCAGGAGCGUUCCCACGCGAACGCAUCAUCUCCCAAUCGGAUCCUGAAAACACCAUGCAACCAAUUCCAUCCUUUUCUGGAUCAACCUGGGCAGAGGACAGGUGCAGAGGAGCCCAGAGAAGGGCCUUGACAAGUCAGGAGACCCAAUUUGGGGUCGCAAUUGUCACUCACUCCCCAGGCGUUUGCUUUGAUCUUCCCCUCCCACCAUACUACUUCUUCUGCUACCUGGUUUCUCCCUGGUAUUUGAGGAUCCUCCAAUUGCCUUCUGGUCUUACAGACGGGAGAAUAAAGGAAAAAUGGCAUCGUUUCCACCUUAAAAGUUACAAGCACUUCACCAGAUGGUACAGCCUAGGUAGAGCCUUUGUAAAACAAAUGCCCGCCCACUGCUUCACCCUCCUCAUUUCCACCUCAGCAAAGCAUUUUAGCAGAAAAGCUGACCCAGAGCAGUAGCUCCCUGCUAUAAUCCUAGCACUUUGGGAGGCUAAGUCAGGAGUAUCUCUUUAGCCCAGAAGUUCAAUACCACCCUAAGCACAAAGUGAGAUCCUGCCUCUACCAAAAAAAGAAAAAAAAAAUUGAAAAAUUAGUCGGAUUUGGUCUCGAGUGCCUGUAGUCCCAGCUACUCGGGAAGCCGAAGUGGGAGGAUCUCUUGAGCCCUAGAGAUGCAGGCUGCAGUGAAUGGUGAUCUGGGACCGCAUCACUGCAGUUCAGUCUGGGUGACAGAGGGAGACGUUGUCUCAGAAAAUAAAAUAAAAUAAAAAAUAACAUAACUGGGAUUACAAGCUCUGUAAGAAGGGGUCACCUGAGACAUUAUUACAUAUACCAUUAACAGAGGAAAAUGCUGCAAAUUAUACUGUGUCCCAAUGGUAAGAGGCCACCCAUUUAAAAAUAUAUACAUAUUUCAGAGAUACUAAAUGAGAAAAAUGUUUACCCUAGAACUGAUUAAAUUCAGGUAUCCACUCCUUUAUUUUCAAUCUUUAGUGCCAUUUUUUAGUUUGUUUAUGUCUUGAAAAUAGCAUAGAGAUUAGAGUUGUAAUUCUUUAUUUUUUAAAUUAUUUUUAUUUUGUUCACUUAUUUAUUUAUUUUUGAGACAGAAUCUUGCUCUGUCACCCAGGCUGGAAUGCAGUGGCACGAUCUCAGUUCACUGUAACCUCUGCUUCCGAGGUUCAAGCCAUUCUUGUGCCUCAGCCUCCAGAGUAGCUGGGACCACUGGCUCCUGCCACAACACCCGGGUAAUUUUUGUAUUUUUAGAAGAAACGGGGUUUCACCAUGUUGGCCAGGCUAGCCUUGAACUCCUGAUCUCAUGUGAUCCACCCACCUCGGCCUCCCAAAGUGCCAGGAUUACAGGCAUGAGCCACCAUGCCAAGCCAAGUUGUAAUUUUUUGAAACCUAUUUUUUGAUUGUAUUUGUUUUUUUCAUAGCUCAAUACACUGAAAUGGUUGGGUAAGUGGGAAAAUCAUCUUCCCCACUCCUCCAGUAUCUGUAAGGUGCAAUUUCUCAUAAACACUUUCAGCUUCUUGCCUCCCCUUUUAGUUCUUCUCACAUAUUGUGUGGUUUGUGGCAUGAAAAUCAUUAUUUGUGACAGACACCAUACCAACUAUAUUUUGUGCUUUAUCUUGUUUCAUUCUCAACCGAAAAAUGUGGUGAGCACAUGCUUUGUGCUGGGCUUUCUUCUUAGUUCUCUCCAUUUUGUAGAUGCACAGCCUCACUUAGGGAAGUUGGAGUGCAUAUAGCUCUGUCUGUGGCUGAAUAGAUAAAUGUAAUUUUAGCAUUCAAUGUUAAGAAAUCAACUCUUGGUGCAAAUUUAAGGCUCAUCUUCUAAUGUAGUGUGUGUGUGUGUGUGUGUGUGUGUGUGUGUGUGUGUGAUUUUACUGUGUCCCUUCUCCCUAACACUCCAGUUCAAGAUAGCAACCUAAGUUCUGAGUUGAUUAUUCUGGACACACUCUCUCAAAAUUUGACUGUUGGACACCAGAAUACACCACCCCAAUAUACCAAUAUACCUCUGGCAUAUUGAUUAUUUCAGGCCUAGCAUGGUAGCUCACACCUGUAAUCCUAGUGCUUCGGGAGCCCAGGAGUUCAUCAGCAGGCUGGGCACAUAAGGGGUCCCAUCUCUACAAAAGUAUUUUUUAAAAAUUAGCUGGGUGUGGUGGCAUGAGCCUAUAGUCCUGGUUACUAGGGAAGCCAAGGCAGGAGGAUGGCUUGAAUCCAGAAGUUUAAAGUUACAGAGAACUAUAAUCAUGCCACUGCAUUUCAGCCUGGGUGAAAGAGUAAGACCCUGUCUCUAAAACAAAAACAAAAUAGGGCUGGGAACUGGUGGCUCACGCCUGUAAUCCCAGCACGUUGGGAGGCCGAAGUGGGCAGAUCACCUGAAGCCAGGAGUUUGAGGCCUGGCCAACAGUCUCUACUAAAAAUAUAAAAAUUAGCUGGGUGUGGUGGUGCAUGCCUAUAAUCCCAGCUACACAGAGGUUGAGGCACGAGAAUUGUUUCAACCCAGGAGGCAGAGGUUGCAGCGAGCCCAGAUCAUGCCACUGCACCCCACCCUGGGCGAUAGCGCAAGAAGACUCUGUCUAAAAAAAAACAAAACAAAUUAAAAAAAAAACAAAACGAGAUGAGAGAAAACCUUCAUCUGUACUGUACUGCUAUACUCCUUACUCCUCUUUAUGACAGAAUACAGAAAGAUAAAGACAAAGAAAAGACUAUUCUGGGAGGAAAGGGGAUGAAACAACAUGAUUCAUACUACAAAGUACCAAAAAGUACACCAGAGUCGAUACACCAGCACUAGUCACACAAAUCCUUUUCUCCCAUCAGUCAAUAUUUUGGACAGGAAAAAUAGAGAGUGAUUUUUACUGUCUACUUCACCAGAUUCCACAGAGUGGGGCCUGGAAUCUGGCUGGUAAAAAUUCUUUAUCCUUAUGCUGGCUGAUCAGCUCCUGGUUUCCCUCAACUGUGGGCUUCCAAAAGAGCCAAACUUUGGGUUCCUGCUCACAGCACCAAAUUUUCAGGGGCCAAGGGAAAUCUUUCUCUGCGCACUCUGAAAGUUUGCUCUAAAAUGGACUCACAGAGGCAGAUUAAUAGGAGAAAACACAUAGAAAAUGUAUGAUUGCUCAGCCCCUCAGUGAGGUGCAGGAGGUUAUAUACCAUCUUGAGGUUACACAAAAAAGUGCAUCAUGCCAAAACAGGUUAUAGGAGAGAGAAAACUUGUAAGGGUUCAGACUCUGUUAAUCCUUCCUAGAUCCAGACAAGAGAAGGCCUGUAUGAAUCAAUGCAGAUUUUCUACAGAUGCAAAUUUUUCCCACAAACGAAAGCAUUGCAGGACUACUUAUUUUGCUGGUUCUCUGGCAGCCAUCUGAAAAUAUUUCAAAUAAAUAUAUUUUGGGGUUAAACAUUUUUAUUUCUUUCAAGGUGGAAUAUUAACUAUGUAUGUCUCUUAUAGAUAUAGUUUUAAAUAAAUAAGGGAAUCCACUUUUUCUAAUUUGUUAAGAUAUGUUUUGUUUUAAGAAUGACAAGGGGUUAAAUUUUUAAAAGAUUUUCUGCAUCUACUGAUAUUAUCACAUGGUUUACUUCCUUUUUAAUGUUAAUGUGUUGACUAAUAUUAACUGAUUUUCAAGUGCUAAACCAAUAUUGAGUUCAUGGAAUAAAUCCCACUGGAUCAU
rnacentral:lncRNA from 1 species